CCUAGGGUGGCAGCAGUGGGGAAUAUUGGACAAUGGGCGAAAGCCUGAUCCAGCCAUGCCGCGUGUGUGAAGAAGGCCUUCGGGUUGUAAAGCACUUUCAGUGGGGAAGAAAGCCUUGGGGCUAAUACCCUCGAGGAAGGACAUCACCCACAGAAGAAGCACCGGCUAACUCCGUGCCAGCAGCCGCGGUAAUACGGAGGGUGCGAGCGUUAAUCGGAAUUACUGGGCGUAAAGCGCGCGUAGGCGGUCUGAUAAGCCGGUUGUGAAAGCCCCGGGCUCAACCUGGGAACGGCAUCCGGAACUGUCAGGCUAGAGUGCAGGAGAGGAAGGUAGAAUUCCCGGUGUAGCGGUGAAAUGCGUAGAGAUCGGGAGGAAUACCAGUGGCGAAGGCGGCCUUCUGGACUGACACUGACGCUGAGGUGCGAAAGCGUGGGUAGCAAACAGGAUUAGAUACCCCUUAGUC
rnacentral:rRNA from 1 species